AAGCUGCCUUUGGGGUGAGAUUUAAUGAUCCUGAACAUUGGCUCCAGCAGCUUAUAGCUUGCAAGUAAAACAAAGUGAAAUGGUGGGCUAGCAAGUGAGAAAGCUCUGUUAUCGACUGCUUCUGAGAGCAGACUUGUCUGUUCUGUAGGACUCAAGUAAACCCUAAGGUUAUUCCCACUGAUGCUGGACCGGAUCACACAGGCCUGCUUCUCCUAACGUCUAAAACUAUCUCCCCAAAAUGGAAUCAAUUAGGAGUUCUUUGGGUUUCAUUUAGGAAGCCUUUGGCAGUUAUUGGAAUUAGAGUAUAGACAUUCAGAAUCCAGUUGAGGUGGUCUGGGUACAAUCUCAUGUACAGGAGGGACUGCAGUGAUUGUAAAUUGAACUUGACAUGUAUGAACUUUGUUGGGAGUCUAAAGGGAAACGUGUUUAGCUUGGAAAAGCCUUUCUUAGUGGAUUUAUCAAGUCAGUUUCUUGGUUUUAAACUUUGAAGCACAAAUAAAGUUAUUUUUUUAAUUGACUUA